rnacentral:ncRNA from 1 species
UACGUCCAGCAGGAAGAAGAUGCCGAUUAGGCUUAAUAGGGAAUUUGGUGUAAAUCCAAAACUGUUUCCGCAACUGUAAAGUGCUGAUGAAAUGAACGAUGCCACUGUCGAUAGUCGAUGGGAAGGGUUCAAAGUAAAUUGAUGCAUAAGUCAGGAGACCUGUCUUUUUCUGAUCGUAUCC